rnacentral:rRNA from 1 species
ACCGUACUCCUACGGGAGGCAGCAGUGGGGAAUUUUGGACAAUGGGGGCAACCCUGAUCCAGCAAUGCCGCGUGAGUGAAGAAGGCCUUCGGGUUGUAAAGCUCUUUUGUCAGGGAAGAAACGGUAGUAGCUAAUAUCUAUUACUAAUGACGGUACCUGAAGAAUAAGCACCGGCUAACUACGUGCCAGCAGCCGCGGUAAUACGUAGGGUGCAAGCGUUAAUCGGAAUGACUGGGCGUAAAGCGUGCGCAGGCGGUUGUGUAAGUCAGAUGUGAAAUCCCCGGGCUCAACCUGGGAAUUGCAUUUAGGACUGCACGGCUAGAGUGUGUCAGAGGGGUGUAGAAUUCCACGUGUAGCAGUGAAAUGCGUAGAUAUGUGGAGGAAUACCGAUGGCGAAGGCAGCCCCCGGGGAUAACACUGACGCUCAUGCACGAAACCGUGGGGAGCAACCAGGAUUAGAAACCCGAUUAGUCCUUGAC